GGUCAAGCUACUAAGAGCACUAGGUGGAUGCCUUGGCGCCAAGAGCCGAUGAAGGACGUGGCAGGCUGCGAAAAGCUUCGGGGAGUCGCGAGCAGACAGUGAUCCGAAGAUGUCCGAAUGGGGAAACCCGGCUGGGGUAAUGCCCAGUCAUCGGUGGCUGAAUACAUAGGCCACCGGAAGGUAAGCCAGCGAACUGAAACAUCUAAGUAGCUGGAAGAGAAGAUAUCAAUUCCCUGAGUAGUGGCGAGCGAAAAGGGAACAGUCCAAACCGCGACAGCGUGAUAGGCGGGAGCCGUUGCUGUCUCGGGGUUGUAGGAGUCAACUUUCGAAUCCUCCCGGAUUCGAGCGAAGUCACAAAUCUGAUCGUUAGGUGAACCUGCUUGGAAAGGCAGGCCAUAGAGGGUGAGAGCCCCGUAACCGAAAGCGAUCAGACUUCGUGGUUGAUCACCUGAGUAACGCGUGGAAGGUCUCUCAUGCGUGAACCUAGGGGGACCACCCUCUAAGACUAAAUACUCUUGGCGACCGAUAGUGAACAAGUACCGUGAGGGAAAGGCGAAAAGAACCCCGUAAGGGGAGUGAAAUAGAACCUGAAACCGAGUGCUUACAAACAGUCAGAGCACUAUGUUGGAAACAACAGUGUGAUGGCGUGCCUUUUGAAGAAUGAGCCGACGAGUUACUGCUGUGUGGCAAGGUUAAGUCCGAGAAGGACGGAGCCGUAGCGAAAGCGAGUCUCAAUAGGGCGUUGAGUCGCAUGGCGUAGACCCGAAACCGGGUGACCUAUCCAUGGCCAGGUUGAAGCGGGGGUAAUACCCCGUGGAGGACCGAACUGGUGAAUGUUGAAAAAUUCUCGGAUGAGCUGUGGAUAGCGGAGAAAUUCCAAUCGAACCCGGAGAUAGCUGGUUCUCCCCGAAAUAGCUUUAGGGCUAGCCUCGGGCGUUCAAUCAUGGGGGUAGAGCACUGGAUGGACUAGGGGGCUUCCCGCUUACCAAAUCCAACCAAACUUCGAAUCCCAUGAUUCAAGAGCCCGGGAGUCAGACUACGAGGGCUAAGCUUCGUGGUCCCAAGGAAAACAGUCCAGAUCGCCAACUAAGGUCCCUAAAUCAACGCUAAGUGGUGAACGAUGUGGGAUUGCAUAAACAACCAGGAUGUUGGCUCAGAAGCAGCCAUCAUUGAAAGAGUGCGUAACAGCUCACUGGUCAAGUGAUCCCGCGCGGAAAAUUUAACGGGGCUCAAGCGUUGUACCGAAGUUGCGAAAUCGUCGCCCAGCUUGCUGGCCGACGAUUGGUAGGGGAGCGUUCCGCUUGCAGUGAAGGCAGACCGGAAGGACUGCUGGAGCGAGCGGAAGUGCGAAUGUCGGCAUGAGUAGCGAAAUGUGAGUGGGAAUCUCACACACCGUAUGGCCAAGGUUUCCUGAGCAAGGCUCGUCCUCUCAGGGUUAGUCGGUCCUAAGCCGAGGGCGAACGCCGUAGGCGAUGGACAUCUGGUUGAUAUUCCAGAACCACCAAAGACCGUUUGCACCGCAAGGUGUCGCCGGGCGAAGGCGGAGGGUGGCUCUCUGACGCAAGUCAGGGGGUACUCCGAGUUGACGUCAGGUGGGAGCAAGGGCAUGACGGGGUCUGGUAGUUCGAGCGUGCUAUGGAAUGCACGUCCAAGCUCGUAGGGGGUGGGACUAGGUAAAUCCGGUCCCGCAUUCAACUCUGAAAAGCGAUGGGAAGGGGUGUAUGCCCUGACUCGAGCAAGCCAAGCCUCCAAGAAAAGUGUCUAGCGAGGUCCUAGGUGACCGUACCGCAAACCGACACAGGUGGCCGGGUAGAGAAUACCAAGGUGAUCGGGAGAACCCUCGUUAAGGAACUCGGCAAAAUAACCCCGUAACUUCGGGAGAAGGGGUGCUCACAGGUGCAGCUUGCUGUGCUUGUGAGCCGCAGUGAAAUGGCCCAGGCGACUGUUUAACAAAAACACAGGUCUCCGCUAAAGCGCAAGCUGAUGUAUGGGGGCUGACGCCUGCCCAGUGCUGGAAGGUUAAGAGGAGGGGUGCAAGCUCUGAAUCGAAGCCCCAGUGAACGGCGGCUGUAACUAUAACAGUCCUAAGGUAGCGAAAUUCCUUGUCGGGUAAGUUCCGACCCGCACGAAUGGCGUAACGAUCUGGGCACUGUCUCAACGAGGGAUCCGGCGAAAUUGAAAUACCAGUGAAGAUGCUGGUUACCCGCGCUGGGGCAAAAAGACCCCGUGGAGCUUUACUACACCCUGAUAUUGGAUUGAGGCUCGACCUGUGUAGGAUAGGUGGGAGGCUUUGAAGCUGGGGCGUUAGCCUCGGUGGAGCCGUCGUUGAAAUACCACCCUUGUUGUGUUUCGUUUCUAACCCCGUGCCGUUAUCCGGCCGGGGAACAGUGUCAGGCGGGUAGUUUGACUGGGGCGGUCGCCUCCUAAAGAGUAACGGAGGCGCCCAAAGGUCCUCUCAGGCUGGAUGGAAAUCAGCCAUAGAGUGCAAAGGCAUAAGAGGGCUUGACUGCGAGACCUACAAGUCGAGCAGGUGCGAAAGCAGGGCUUAGUGAUCUGAUAACUCCGAGUGGAAGGGUUAUCACUCAACGGAUAAAAGCUACCCCGGGGAUAACAGGCUGAUGGUGCCCAAGAGUUCAUAUCGACGGCACCGUUUGGCACCUCGAUGUCGGCUCGUCGCAUCCUGGGGCGGAAGUACGUCCCAAGGGUUUGGCUGUUCGCCAAUUAAAGCGGUACGUGAGCUGGGUUCAGAACGUCGUGAGACAGUUCGGUCUCUAUCCAGCGUGGGCGAAGGGAACUUGAAAGGAGCUGCUCCUAGUACGAGAGGACCGGAGUGGACGAGCCUAUGGUGUGCCUGUUGUCCUUCCAAGGGCAUUGCAGGGUAGCUAAGCUCGGCAGGGAUAAGCGCUGAAAGCAUAUAAGCGCGAAGCUCGCCUUAAGAUGAGGUUCCCCACCGGGUUAACCGGGUAAGACCGCAGGGAGACUACCUGCUUGAUAGGGCGCAUGUGGAAGGCCAGUGAUGGCUGCAGCAAAGCGCUACUAAUGGUCGAGGGCUUGACCUC
rnacentral:rRNA from 1 species